GGAAUGGAUAUUACAGUGACCAUCAGAACAUACCCAGUGGAAUUCCCAAGAACUGCCAAUCACAUCUGACCAGGCAACUAACGUGUCACAUUUUCUGACACGUUGGGAUGUUGAGAAAGGUGGUGACAGGAGUAGGGAGAGAUGGGAACACAGAAUCAGACUGCAUUGGUUAUCUUUUCCUCCCCCUUGACAACCACUGAUUUGCUUGCCAUCAUUAGAGAUUAGUUUUCAAGUUCUACAGCUGUGCUGUCUCUAGCCUCAUAAGCUCGUGAACAUGAGUUGUGGCUGAUCUGGAUUAAGAUGUAACACAUGGGAUUUUGAAGAUUUAGUAUGAAGAAUAAUAUAAAUUAUCCAAUUUUAAAAUAAUGAAUAUAUGUUGAAAUAGUAUACUAAAUAUAUUGGAUUAAAUAAAAUAUAAUAUUAAAAUUAAUUUAAUUGUUUCUUUUCACUCUUUUAAAAGUGGUUACCAGACAGUUUUAAAUGACAUA
rnacentral:lncRNA from 1 species